GGUUAAGCGAACAAGCGUACACGGUGGAUGCCCUGGCAGUCAGAGGCGAUGAAGGACGUGCUAAUCUGCGAAAAGCGCCGGUAAGGUGAUAUGAACCGUUAUAGCCGGCGAUGUCCGAAUGGGGAAACCCAGUGUGAUUCGUCACACUAUCUCAGCAUGAAUACAUAGUGCUGUGAGGCGAACCGGGGGAACUGAAACAUCUAAGUACCCCGAGGAAAAGAAAUCAACCGAGAUUCCCCCAGUAGCGGCGAGCGAACGGGGAACAGCCCAGAGCCUGAAUCAGUUUGUGUGUCAGUGGAACGGUCUGGAAAGGCCGGCGAUACAGGGUGACAGCCCCGUACACGAAGGCACACAGGUUGUGAGCUCGAUGAGUAGGGCGGGACACGUGAUAUCCUGUCUGAAGAUGGGGGGACCAUCCUCCAAGGCUAAAUACUCCUGACUGACCGAUAGUGAACCAGUACCGUGAGGGAAAGGCGAAAAGAACCCCGGCGAGGGGAGUGAAACAGAACCUGAAACCGUGUACGUACAAGCAGUGGGAGCCUUCGUAAGAGGGUGACUGCGUACCUUUUGUAUAAUGGGUCAGCGACUUAUAUUCUGUAGCAAGGUUAACCGCAUAGGGGAGC
rnacentral:rRNA from 1 species